CGGUGACUACGCACUCUGUCUAGACAACUUAGGACAAAGGGACGCCGACCCGAUCACAGAUCUACUUACCGAUUGGAGAGUUGCAGUAGUCGUAACGUGGACUAGAGACAGGCUCAAAGAAAUACGCAUGAUAUGUCAAGCCAAAGAAAGCAAAUGGAGACUGCAAAGCGAGGAAGAUGUGUCUUUACGACAGGCGAGAGGAGGCGAGAAGACAUUGCAUUCUGUAUACAAACAGUUUGAACUAAAGGGAUUUUUGGAUUCAGACCCUGAACCUGCUAACCGACGGUAGACAGGGAGAAGGAAAACCUGCCAACUGUUAACUACAACCAGGCCAAUUUCACACCAGAGAAAAUAUUGUAGUUAUGAUUUCGAUAUAAUGUUACGACUUAUUUUUUUAAAAAGUUUUUUUACUGUGUUACGACUUAGAAACAAACAGUGCCUACUACGUACGACAAAUAAUCAUUUCAAACAUAUAAAUAAAAAUAAUGAUAUUAUGGGUACUCCGACAGAAUGUUUUUUUUAUGUUCUCAAUGUAACUUCAACAUUAUGACAAUAAAUGUUUUUAGAUUAAAUGAAUGCUUCGUUCCUUA